UACAGAGACUGCGAGCGUUAUUCGGAUUCACUGGGCGUAAAGGGUGCGCAGGCGGCCAAGUGUGUGAGGCGUGAAAGCCCGGGGCUUAACCCCGGAAUUGCACCUCAAACUACAUGGCUAGAGUAUUGGAGAGGGUAACGGAAUUCACGGUGUAGCAGUGAAAUGCGUAGAUAUCGUGAGGAACACCAGAGGCGAAGGCGGUUACCUGGACAAUUACUGACGCUCAGGCACGAAAGCGUGGGUAGCAAAAGGG
rnacentral:rRNA from 1 species